UUACUGCUAUCGGUGUUCGCCUAAGCCAUGCGAGUCAUAUGUUCUUCGUGAACAUGGCGUACUGCUCAGUAACACGUGGAUAACCUGCCCUUGGGUCCGGCAUAACCCCGGGAAACUGGGGAUAAUUCCGGAUAACGCACAUAUGCUGGAAUGCUUUAUGCGUAAAAUGGAUUCGUCUGCCCAAGGAUGGGUCUGCGGCCUAUCAGGUAGUAGUGGGUGUAAUGUACCUACUAGCCAACAACGGGUACGGGUUGUGAGAGCAAGAGCCCGGAGAUGGAUUCUGAGACAUGAAUCCAGGCCCUACGGGGCGCAGCAGGCGCGAAAACUUUACAAUGCGGGAAACCGUGAUAAGGGGACACCGAGUGCCAGCGUCAUACGCUGGCUGUCCGGGUGUGUAAAAUACACCUGUUAGCAAGGGCCGGGCAAGACCGGUGCCAGCCGCCGCGGUAACACCGGCGGCCCGAGUGGUGAUCGUGAUUAUUGGGUCUAAAGGGUCCGUA
rnacentral:rRNA from 1 species